UCUCUCAUCUUUCUUCCCUUAUUUAUUCCUUCUUUUUCUUAAUACCUACCCAUCUUCCUUCUUCCUCUCUCCCUUUCCCCUCUACCCAAAAGCUCCCUCUGUCGGCCACCAUUUGAACCGUCUUCACCUCAUUUAUUUUCCAUUUUCGAUCUUUCAUUUAGGCAUAUUUUAUUUUUUCAUUUUUUUCGGCUUAAUGGUCACAAAUUUUUGUCUUUGCUUUUGUUCGACAGUUCAUCUACGUGCACUAUUUGCUUGUAAACCCAUUUCGAUGCCGGUCGAUCUCUUUCUUUAACCCUCUAUUCGGCCGCAAAGUUGGAAAAGAUAUAUUAGACUUGAAAUUUUUUUCCUUUUACACUCCCGUUUGGCAACUGAUUCCUUUUCUCUUUCAAUCUGUGCAUGACUUCUCUAUUUGAUUUGCCGCUCGAAUCUGAACCAUAUCCUUCGUCUAAUAGCUUGCUGCUCGGAUCACGCCAUUGAUGCUCCGAUUUUCCUAUUACGAUGAGUUAUGGAUACUACCCAGUUGUGGCCUUGUGGAUCCGAGAAUGGUAGGGUAUUGAGAAUUGGGGGGACUCCCGACGCACACACACGUCAGCAAAAAUGCUAAAAACAUCGCAAUAUGAUUUUCCGACGCAGAAGGCCACGUCGGGAACAUCGUCAGAAGAAAUGCGUGGGAGAACAUUUUUUGAAGCGUCAUAACAAGGUGUCGGGAGUAACCGUCUCCCAUACGUUCUAUUUUCUGAUGCUGCCGCUGCGUCCGCAAUAAAGAUUUCCUGACGUCCUCAUUGUCGUGUCGCCUGUGCAUCGAAAAUACCUACUCUCGACGUCCUCAUUACCAAUGUUUUGUGCUUCAGGAAUUCGUUUUAUAUGUAUUUUUUUUAAAAUAUGUAAUUUUUAUUUGUUUUCCCUAAAAUAAACUAUAAUUAGUCAA